rnacentral:lncRNA from 1 species
AUAGAUCAAUUGCAAGUAUAUUCCGCAGCCUGAAUUGCGUGAUUGGUUGGCGUUUUCUUCUUUUCUUUUUAACUUGGUAGUAACUGCCAUUCCAAAUGAGCAAAUUUUAUUUACUAGUCCAGGAUGGGGAAUGAUUGAUCUGGUGAAGAGAAGAUUAUUCAAGCACUGAGCAUUAGUUCCAGAUGCUGCUAAUUCCUUGUCGAUUAGGAUUACAAACAGGGCGGUUUUCAUAAUGUCUUGUGUGCAUCAACCGUAAAUUGUAGCCUCCACACCCACCUCAGGAACCUCUAAUGUAAUUACUCAUAAUCAAGAUGCAAUUAUAUCAGUGGUUGGCAGUCUGUAGAG